GAUCAAGAACGUAGCGAAAUGCGAUACUUGGUGUGAAUUGCAGAAUCCCGUGAACCAUCGAGUCUUUGAACGCAAGUUGCGCCUCAAGCCAUUAGGUUGAGGGCACGUCUGCCUGGGCGUCACAUAUCGUUGCCUGAUGCCAGUUUCCUCGUGAUGGGUGACUGUGCAGGGCGAAUGAUGGCUUCCCGUGAGCAUUGUUGCCUCAUGGUUGGUUGAAAAUUGAGUCCUUGGUAGGGAGCGCCGUGAUAGAUGGUGGUUGAGUGACGAACGAGACCCAAUCAUGUGAGACCCCUACCGAAUUUGGCCUUCAUGACCCACAUGCGUCUUUGGAACGCUCAUGACGAGACCUCAGGUCAGGCGGGGCUACCCGCUGAGUUUAAGCAUAUCAAUAAGCGGAGGA
rnacentral:misc_RNA from 1 species